GGUUAAGCGACUAAGCGUACACGGUGGAUGCCCUGGCAGUCAGAGGCGAUGAAGGACGUGCUAAUCUGCGAAAAGCGUCGGUAAGGUGAUAUGAACCGUUAUAACCGGCGAUGUCCGAAUGGGGAAACCCAGUGCAAUUCGUUGCACUAUCGUUAACUGAAUACAUAGGUUAACGAGGCGAACCGGGGGAACUGAAACAUCUAAGUACCCCGAGGAAAAGAAAUCAACCGAGAUUCCCCCAGUAGCGGCGAGCGAACGGGGAGCAGCCCAGAGUCUGAAUCAGCUUGUGUGUUAGUGGAACGGUCUGGAAAGUCCGACGGUACAGGGUGAUAGUCCCGUACACCAAAAUGCACAGGCUGUGAACUCGAAGAGUAGGGCGGGACACGUGGUAUCCUGUCUGAAUAUGGGGGGACCAUCCUCCAAGGCUAAAUACUCCUGACUGACCGAUAGUGAACCAGUACCGUGAGGGAAAGGCGAAAAGAACCCCGGCGAGGGGAGUGAAAAAGAACCUGAAACCGUGUACGUACAAGCAGUGGGAGCACCUUCGGGUGUGACUGCGUACCUUUUGUAUAAUGGGUCAGCGACUUAUAUUCUGUAGCAAGGUUAACCGUAUAGGGGAGCCGCAGGGAAACCGAGUCUUAACUGGGCGUUAAGUUGCAGGGUAUAGACCCGAAACCCGGUGAUCUAGCCAUGGGCAGGUUGAAGGUUGGGUAACACUAACUGGAGGACCGAACCGACUAAUGUUGAAAAAUUAGCGGAUGACUUGUGGCUGGGGGUGAAAGGCCAAUCAAACCGGGAGAUAGCUGGUUCUCCCCGAAAGCUAUUUAGGUAGCGCCUCGUGAAUUCAUCUUCGGGGGUAGAGCACUGUUUCGGCUAGGGGGUCAUCCCGACUUACCAACCCGAUGCAAACUACGAAUACCGAAGAAUGUUAUCACGGGAGACACACGGCGGGUGCUAACGUCCGUCGUGAAGAGGGAAACAACCCAGACCGCCAGCUAAGGUCCCAAAGUCAUGGUUAAGUGGGAAACGAUGUGGGAAGGCACAGACAGCCAGGAUGUUGGCUUAGAAGCAGCCAUCAUUUAAAGAAAGCGUAAUAGCUCACUGGUCGAGUCGGCCUGCGCGGAAGAUGUAACGGGGCUAAACCAUGCACCGAAGCUGCGGCAGCGACACUAUGUGUUGUUGGGUAGGGGAGCGUUCUGUAAGCCUGCGAAGGUGUGCUGUGAGGCAUGCUGGAGGUAUCAGAAGUGCGAAUGCUGACAUAAGUAACGAUAAAGCGGGUGAAAAGCCCGCUCGCCGGAAGACCAAGGGUUCCUGUCCAACGUUAAUCGGGGCAGGGUGAGUCGACCCCUAAGGCGAGGCCGAAAGGCGUAGUCGAUGGGAAACAGGUUAAUAUUCCUGUACUUGGUGUUACUGCGAAGGGGGGACGGAGAAGGCUAUGUUAGCCGGGCGACGGUUGUCCCGGUUUAAGCAUGUAGGCUGAUUAUCCAGGCAAAUCCGGAUAAUCAAGGCUGAGGUGUGAUGACGAGGCACUACGGUGCUGAAGUAACAAAUGCCCUGCUUCCAGGAAAAGCCUCUAAGCAUCAGGUAACAUCAAAUCGUACCCCAAACCGACACAGGUGGUCAGGUAGAGAAUACCAAGGCGCUUGAGAGAACUCGGGUGAAGGAACUAGGCAAAAUGGUGCCGUAACUUCGGGAGAAGGCACGCUGGUGUGUAGGUGAAGCCCCUGCGGGUGGAGCUGAGACCAGUCGAAGAUACCAGCUGGCUGCAACUGUUUAUUAAAAACACAGCACUGUGCAAACACGAAAGUGGACGUAUACGGUGUGACGCCUGCCCGGUGCCGGAAGGUUAAUUGAUGGGGUUAUCCGUAAGGAGAAGCUCUUGAUCGAAGCCCCGGUAAACGGCGGCCGUAACUAUAACGGUCCUAAGGUAGCGAAAUUCCUUGUCGGGUAAGUUCCGACCUGCACGAAUGGCGUAAUGAUGGCCAGGCUGUCUCCACCCGAGACUCAGUGAAAUUGAACUCGCUGUGAAGAUGCAGUGUACCCGCGGCAAGACGGAAAGACCCCGUGAACCUUUACUAUAGCUUGACACUGAACAUUGAGCCUUGAUGUGUAGGAUAGGUGGGAGGCUUUGAAGCGUGGACGCCAGUCUGCGUGGAGCCAACCUUGAAAUACCACCCUUUAAUGUUUGAUGUUCUAACGUUGGCCCCUGACCGGGGUUGCGGACAGUGUCUGGUGGGUAGUUUGACUGGGGCGGUCUCCUCCCAAAGCGUAACGGAGGAGCACGAAGGUUAGCUAAUCCUGGUCGGACAUCAGGAGGUUAGUGCAAUGGCAUAAGCUAGCUUGACUGCGAGCGUGACGGCGCGAGCAGGUGCGAAAGCAGGUCAUAGUGAUCCGGUGGUUCUGAAUGGAAGGGCCAUCGCUCAACGGAUAAAAGGUACUCCGGGGAUAACAGGCUGAUACCGCCCAAGAGUUCAUAUCGACGGCGGUGUUUGGCACCUCGAUGUCGGCUCAUCACAUCCUGGGGCUGAAGUAGGUCCCAAGGGUAUGGCUGUUCGCCAUUUAAAGUGGUACGCGAGCUGGGUUUAGAACGUCGUGAGACAGUUCGGUCCCUAUCUGCCGUGGGCGCUGGAGAAUUGAGGGGGGCUGCUCCUAGUACGAGAGGACCGGAGUGGACGCAUCACUGGUGUUCGGGUUGUCAUGCCAAUGGCACUGCCCGGUAGCUAAAUGCGGAAGAGAUAAGUGCUGAAAGCAUCUAAGCACGAAACUUGCCCCGAGAUGAGUUCUCCCUGAGACUUUAAGUCUCCUGAAGGAACGUUGAAGACGACGACGUUGAUAGGCCGGGUGUGUAAGCGCAGCGAUGCGUUGAGCUAACCGGUACUAAUGAACCGUGAGGCUUAACCUU
rnacentral:rRNA from 2 species